UUGCAGGCAUAUCAUGUUGAAACACCAGUUUUCAUUUGAUCAACAAAGUUAAACAACAAUGAGCCUGGUCAGUACCUAGAUGAGUGACUGCUUGGAAAUACCAGGUGCUGUAAG